CUCAUUGGUCCCCAAAUCAGUCCAGCGGGGUCCGGCCUGAACCGGGACGAGGGACUCGGGGAGGGGAAACGGAAGGUCCAAGCAAGCAAGAGUGGCGCCACGAUCCUGAGAAACUCAGCACUUAAUCUGGGUUAAUGGCACUGGGGAUGUGUAGCAUGUGUGAGCCUGUCAGUGAAGAUACAUCAUCGAUAAUAUAUUUACCCCAUAGAAUAAUGUGAGCUACCAACACAGAGCACAGUGAAUCUGUAAAGCCGCUGAAAUACCUAGAGGAAGUCUGGAUCCAAACUCUAUUCAGGCAGGCAGUAUGUAGGUUUCAUGACUGGAUUUAACUACAUUUACUGUAACCCAA